GACGAACGCUGGCGGCGUGCUUAACACAUGCAAGUCGAACGAUGAAGCCGGAGCUUGCUCUGGUGAAUUAGUGGCGAACGGGUGAGUAACACGUGAGUAACCUGCCCUUGACUCUGGGAUAACUGCGGGAAACUGUAGCUAAUACCGGAUACGACCCUCGGAGGCAUCUCCUGGGGGUGGAAAGAAUUUCGGUCAAGGAUGGACUCGCGGCCUAUCAGCGAGUUGGUGAGGUAACGGCUCACCAAGGCGACGACGGGUAGCCGGCCUGAGAGGGUAACCGGCCACACUGGGACUGAGACACGGCCCAGACUCCUACGGGAGGCAGCAGUGGGGAAUAUUGCACAAUGGGCGCAAGCCUGAUGCAGCAACGCCGCGUGAGGGAUGACGGCCUUCGGGUUGUAAACCUCUUUUAGCAGGGAAGAAGCGAAAGUGACGGUACCUGCAGAAAAAGCACCGGCUAACUACGUGCCAGCCGCCGCGGUAA
rnacentral:rRNA from 1 species